rnacentral:rRNA from 1 species
AUUGAACGCUGGCGGCAGGCCUAACACAUGCAAGUCGAGCGGAGCGGCGGACGGGUGAGUAAUGACUAGGAACCUGCUUGGUAGUGGGGGAUAACGUCAGGAAACGGGCGCUACUACUGCAUACUAUUAAAUGAGCCUCGGUCGGGUUAGCUAGUUGGUGGGGUAAAGGCCUACGAAGGGGACGAUCCGUAACCGGUCUGAGAGGAUGAUCAGUCACACUGGAACUGAGACACGGUCCAGACUCCUACGUGAGGCAGCAGUGGGGAAUAUUGGACAAUGGGCGAAAGCCUGAUCCAGCCAUGCCGCUUGUGUGAAGAAGGUCUUCGGAUUGUAAAGCACUUUAAGUUGGGAGGCGUUACCAACAGAAUAAGCACCGGCUAACUUCGUGCCAGCAGCCGCGGUAAUUC